UUGCCCUAGUAACGGCGAGUGAAGCGGCAACAGCUCAAAUUUGAAAUCUGGCCUCGUGCCCGAGUUGUAAUUUGUAGAGGAUGCUUUUGGCGACGCGCCUUCCGAGUUCCCUGGAACGGGACGCCAUAGAGGGUGAGAGCCCCGUCCGGUCGUGCGCCUAGCCUCUGUAAAGCUCCUUCGACGAGUCGAGUAGUUUGGGAAUGCUGCUCUAAAUGGGAGGUAUACGUCUUCUAAAGCUAAAUACCGGCCAGAGACCGAUAGCGCACAAGUAGAGUGAUCGAAAGAUGAAAAGCACUUUGAAAAGAGGGUUAAAUAGUACGUGAAAUUGCUGAAAGGGAAGCGCUUAUGACCAGACUUGGGCGCGGCGGAUCAUCCGGCGUUCUCGCCGGUGCACUCCACCGCCCCAGGCCAGCAUCAGUUCGCGCCGGGGGACAAAGGCUUCGGGAAUGUGGCUCCCUCGGGAGUGUUAUAGCCCGUUGCGUAAUACCCUGGUGCGGACUGAGGUCCGCGCUCUGCAAGGAUGCUGGCGUAAUGGUCAUCAGUGACCCGUCUUGAAACACGGACCAAGGAGUCGUCUUCGUAUGCGAGUGUUCGGGUGUCAAACCCCUACGCGGAAUGAAAGUGAACGUAGGAGAGAGCUUCGGCGCAUCUCCGACCGAUCCUGAUGUUCUCGGAUGGAUUUGAGUAAGAGCAUACGGGGCCGGACCCGAAAGAAGGUGAACUAUGCCUGUGUAGGGUGAAGCCAGAGGAAACUCUGGUGGAGGCUCGCAGCGGUUCUGACGUGCAAAUCGAUCGUCAAACAUGGGCAUGGGGGCGAAAGACUAAUCGAACCUUCUAGUAGCUGGUUUCCGCCGAAGUUUCCCUCAGGAUAGCAGUGUUGAACUCAGUUUUAUGAGGUAAAGCGAAUGAUUAGGGACCCGGGGGCGCUAUAUUGCCUUCAUCCAUUCUCAAACUUUAAAUAUGUAAGAAGCUCUUGUUGCUUAGUUGAACGUGAGCAUUCGAAUGUAUCAACACUAGUGGGCCAUUUUUG
rnacentral:rRNA from 1 species